rnacentral:misc_RNA from 1 species
UCUGGUGAUUACUGGGGGAUUUACUUUGCCUUGCCAGCACCUCUACUGUCAGUAAGACCCUUCAUUUAUCACAAAAUUCUCAAGACGUCUCUCUCCUCCCUUUUCUUACUUGUCUUAUCGAAAAAGAAAGACACACAGACGACGAAAUAAAAAAAGGGGGUUUGAUACAUUCGAAAGGAGCCAGCCAGAAUCUUUCUUUUUCACGGCAACAUUCGCAAUUAUCGACGCAGAACAAGGGAGCUGGGCCGGUGUAGUAGACUCAGCAGUAAUCAAAGACUUACCACGUGGGAAAAGUUUGAAGAAAUACGCGAAACUGUAUUAAUCUUUAAUGACUGUCAUAGUCUUUCAUCAUCUAGUUCCUAUUACUUAGCUGGUGGCGGCUGAUUUCAAUAGAGAGCGCAUCAAUCCGUUACCAUGGUAACUGGCUACACUCAUUAUUAUCCAUUGAUAGUGAAAAUUAUCACGAAAAAGUAUCAAUGCAUCAAGUAAAAAAAAGAAAGGAAAACGGGAAGAAAAACUGUCAGCAUCGUCUCUGGCAAUUAGCGGAGUGUGUUUGGAGCGUCAGUCAUUCGGCGCAAUAUCCGGAAAAAGAGAAGUUUCGGGCCAAGGAGAAGAAAGAAAGAAAGAGGACGGACGAGCAUACGGAGCGGACGAACUGAGUGAAAGGGAGAGUACAGAGAAAACAUAUUGACCAACCACGCUUUUCAUCACUCUAGCUCUUCCAGGCUACGUGAGUAGAUCGGUAAAUGUGUUUGUGCCGUAGCUUUGUUUGCUAGGUCUCCGGUUCAGUCACCACUGUGACCCGAAUGUAAAGGUGCGGCUGAAGAAGCCACUUAAAGUCUCGCCUCACGAUCGCCUGGCUGCACAUUCGUCUAUCGGCUACGGUUGGAGGAUAACGUGUGAUGUUGAACGCACCACGAUUUCUGAUAGUCGCUCUACUCGCAGUGUCUAGUCAUGAAGCACACGUAGAGGGACCGAUAUUUCUCAAUGAACCACCACAUCGUUUGGACUUUUCCAAUUCAUCCGGUGGAGAACUUAGAUGUCGUGGAGAUGGAAAACCAACUCCUAUAGUGAGAUGGGUUAAACAGAACGGAGAUCCCGUUAACGAAAUAAGUAGAUUGAGGGUGUUAAAAGCAGAUGGGACAUUAAUUUUUAGACCGUUUCGUCCAGAGGAUUAUCGUGCUGAUGUUCACGAUACCAUUUAUCGCUGUCUUUUAUCAAACAUCGUAGGUACUAUUGGAAGCAGGGACGUUCACGUUCGUGCAGUAAUCUUGCAGAAUUAUGAGAUCAGAUCCUUCGACGAAUUUGUUCUUAGAGGCAACAUGGCAGUGCUCAGGUGUCCUAUCCCUAGUUUUGUCAGCGAUUAUGUUCGUGUAUCCCAUUGGGAAAGGAAUGACAGUUUCUUUAUAACUCCCACGACAGGAGACGGUCGAUACGGAAUAUUUAAUAAGGGAGAUUUAUAUAUAAAAAAAGUGGACAACAGAGAUAGUUCCUACAGUUUUAGAUGUCAUACAGAGAAUAUUCUCACAGGAGAAAAAAAGAGCAGUAUAAAAUAUUCAAAAGUCAUAGUUACAGAACCCCAUCACAGCCAGCUGCCCAGGAUUAUUUCUCGAAGCACUAAACUAACUGUACCUGUUCGGCAGUCCCAAGCCAUUUUGGUGUGUAUUGCCCAAGGGUAUCCACUUCCUACUUAUCGUUGGUAUAAGGAACAAGGGGGACUUACUCCUGCAGAAAUCAAUCAAAGGAUUAGACAGGAGGAUGGUGUAUUGCUCAUCCAAAGAGUUAUGCCAGAGGACAGUGGAAAAUAUGUUUGUGUUGUCAGCAAUAGCGUGGGAGAAGAUCGAACGGAAAUUGAACUUUUUGUUGAAGAGCCUCUGAUUGUCAGCCUUAUACCAGACCAUCAAAGAGUGGAUGUCGGAAAAACUGUAACUUUGAACUGUUCUAUCACAGGACGUCCUGUCGGCUCAGUCGUAUGGAGAAAAGACAUGAACUUCCUUCCAACUAGUCGUCGACUGAAGUUUCUUUCUCCAACACUUUUAGAAAUCAGCCAAGUGAAGCGUCAGGAUGCUGGAAUAUAUCAAUGCUUUGUGUAUGGAGAAACGAAUUCAGUUCAAGCAUCUGCUUCUGUUGUUAUUGGAGAUCUGGUACCAGAGUUUCGAUAUGUUUAUCAAGAACAGACGGUGCAUCCUCGUUCUUUUGUAUCGCUGAAAUGUGUUGCUGUAGGCAACCCUCUUCCACAGAUAACUUGGAUUCUGGACGGAAUAUGGCCCAUUUCUAGUAGAGCAGGAACGGUGGUAAAUACAUAUGCUACCACAGAAGGCGAUGUCAUUAGCUACGUAAAUCUCACAUCAGCUGAUGUGGGUGACAGUGGAGUUUAUACCUGCACUGCUACAAAUUACGCAGGACAGAAAAGCCACUCUCAGAGAUUAAAUGUGUAUGGACCACUAUUUGUGAGACCCUUAAGUAACUUUACAGUUUUAUCUGGAAAGACUUUUAUCAUCAGUUGCCCAUUCGGCGGUUAUCCGUACAGUUCUAUUAUCUGGAAAUAUGAGACUUUAACUCUCCCCAUUGGUCAACAUCAGCGGGUAUUUCCUAAUGGGACCCUUGUGAUUGCUGAUGUGGACGUAUCACGUGAUCAGGGAAGAUACAGCUGUGAGGUAUCCAAUGACCAAAGAAACUCUGCUGAAAGAACCUUUCGACUUAUCGUCAGAAGUGGUCCAAAGAUAGCACCGUUUACAUUUCAAGAUGAACUUCAUGAAGGAAUGAGAACUGCAGUAACGUGUAUUGUGGUUGCCGGUGAUGGGCCUCUCAUAAUUAAAUGGAUGAAAGAUAGCCGACUCCUUUCAGAAGAAAAGUUAAAUGCUUCUAUAAUUUACGGCGAGGGUGGUUUUGUAUCGACACUGACUAUUAAAAAACUUGCUUAUCUUCAUAAUGGAAAUUAUACAUGUGUAGCAACAAAUGAUUUAGCUUCUGAUUCGUACAGCGCUAAACUCACAGUUAAAGUUCCACCUCGAUGGCUCUUGCAACCUAAAGAUACUUCAGCAGUAGUCGGUAAAUCUGCAAUGAUCAAUUGUCAAGCUAGUGGUGUACCACAGCCACACGUUCGCUGGAAAGUAGCCACAGGUAACCAACCAGUAGAAUAUCGUACAAUCAUAAGUAGUUCUCAUAUUCACAUUUUAGUGAAUGGUUCUUUGAAUAUUAGAAGUGUUGAAGAAAACGAUGGAGGUUUAUAUGUUUGCGAAGCCAAUAAUGGAGUAGGAAGUGGGAUCAGUAGCAUUAUUAGAUUUACAGUUCACAGCAUACCGAGGUUUGAGACCAAGUUUUUGGAGAAGAAUUUUAAAAAAGGGGAAAGAGCUGAAAUCGAAUGUAAUGCUGAUGGAGAUUUGCCAGUAGUAUUCCUGUGGAGAAGAAAUGGUAUCCGAUUUGAUCCCGCUUCGGAAGCCAGAUAUUUAUACGAAACGUUCGAAGAAGAUAAAAAAGCAAUGUCUAAAAUCAUCAUAGCAUCGGUUGAAAGAGAUGAUUCGGCCAUGUUAACCUGUACAGCUAGAAACCAAUACGGUGAAGAUACUGCGAAUAUACAGCUAACAAUACAAGAUGUACCUGAUCCUCCACAAAAUAUAGAAAUUAAUGAAGUCACUAGCAGGAGCGUUAGAUUAUCAUGGAGCCAAAAAUAUACCGGAAAUUCUCCUAUUACAGAAUAUAUUAUAUCGUGGAUUCCUUCUGAAGAUAUGUGGAAACAAAGCAAGGAAAAUCAUCUAUCUGUAUCAGGAAGUGAAAAUACUGCAACAAUUCGCGGGUUAAAUUCCCAAACUACCUAUUCAGUUAGCAUUCGAGCAUUGAACGCCUUAGGGAAAAGUGCUGCAAGUAUACCUGUUCUAGCAACAACUUUAGAGGAACCUCCUAGUAAAGCCCCGGGUUCAGUCAAGGCUAUGGCACAUUCUUCACAAGUUGUAAAUAUAUCGUGGGAGAGGCCAGAAGUCGCUUCGGAUUCAAUAACGGGUUAUUAUGUCGGCUACAAACUGAAGGGAGAUGAAUUGUAUACGUAUAAAACUGUAGAAACUAUACCAAAUCAGAAGCAAGAGUUUCAGUUAUCAGGAUUGGCACGUUUUACUGAUUACAGCAUCAUAGUACAAGCAUUCAAUAGCAGAGGAGCUGGACCUGCAUCUGACGAAGUCAUCGUUAGAACUCUCGAAUAUGAUCGACCAACGGCACCAAUUAUGAAAAAAUUCUUUACAACAUCAACAUCAAUCAAACUAACUUGGGACAUAACUCUUACUCCUUCUGCUCCUUUGCUCGGUUAUGUUCUUCACUAUAGAAAGGAUGGCAAUCGAUGGAGAGAAACUCGCAUAAUUGCAGACAGAAGGGAUCAUUCCGUUCACGAUUUAGACUGCGGAACUCUUUAUUACUUUUAUCUCCUCGCUUAUAACAGCGCUGGAAAUAGCGAACCAAGUGAAAUGAUUUCAGCCAAAACAGAUGGAAAUUCUCCAAUUGCACCAGAAAAGUCGUAUUUGCUGUCCGUAAAUUCGACAACAGUUUUAUUACAUCUUAAUUCUUGGCGCAAUGGAGGUUGUCCGAUUACGUUUUUCGUGGUUCAGUACAAACCUCAGGGACAACAGGAGUGGACUUUGGUGUCUAACAACAUUAUUCCGGAUCAACAAGAAAUAACCAUUACAGAUCUGAGUCCGGGAACGUGGUAUACUUUACUCAUGACAUCGCAUAACGAAGCAGGCUCCACUGAUGCAGAAUAUGUUUUUGCAACGUUGACUUUAACAGGAGAACAACCUCCACGUCCAGCAGAGGCUAAUGAUGUUACAGCUAUGUUUUAUCGCCAUUUAACUGUAACCGUUCCGAUUGUCAGCUCUCUAAUUGUCUUAAUUGUUGUACUAAUAGUUGUUUGCGUGAUAACGCGCCGAAGGAAUUCCGAACCGCGUCCUCAUACUCCAGAAGAUUUUUCGUUAGGUGCCGAUAGUAAUGAACCAACUAAACAUGAAAAUGUUCCAUUAUCUAUAACAUAUGAUAGUACUCAAGAGCCAGUAUAUUUUCCAGAACCUUAUGCUAUGAGUAGAGUGUCAGUGUGUUCUCGAGAUCACAGUUCCAUACCGGGAAAACGAGGACAUCUGGAAACAUUUGGAAAUACAAGGAUUGGUUAUACGUACGACAUACCAUACCCACCCAAACGAGCUGAAAAAGAUAAUCCUUCAGAAUUAUCUCAGCUUUAUUCAGAACAUUUUGAAAAAGUUACGUUUGUUUGAAGAAAGGGAAACACUAACAUUUGCAGGUAUAUGGACAAGAAUCUCGAGAGAUAACGAAGCCAUUUAUGAGAUACCCGAUAGAGAACGAACUGGAAAAGGAACGAGAGAAAGGCACUGGAGAGAAGAUGGAGAUGGGGAUUCGAGCAGCGAUUCGGACCCCGAACCUUACAA